rnacentral:tRNA from 8 species
GGCGGGUGGGCAGGCAGGCUAUGCACCGGAUUGCAAAUCCGUGAAGAUCGGUUCGAUUCCGAUACCCGCCUCCA